rnacentral:lncRNA from 1 species
UUUCACAGUUUGUUACACAGGUUUCCUCUAGUUCUCCCGGCCAUUCUUAUCACGCAUUCCUCUUAUCUGUCAUAUGAAGUCUGAAUGUUUUCUUUCAUUUUACAUAUUGUCUCACAAGGACAACACAGUAAAUUUGUUCACCAUCUCUGACAGUGCGUGCCUGCCUUUUAGUAUUUCUUCAGUAAUAGAAUUAAUUUAUCUGCAGCCUUGGAUUUAUUGUUUAUGCAUUCUGCAUUUGAACAAAGCAAUAUAUUAGUGAAGGACCUGAUCUGAUGCCUGCCUACUGAAGUGAGUAGGAGUCUUCCUGUUGUUGAGAUCAGGCCCUCAAGCAUACCUGGCUACCACAGAAUUAUCACAGUGAGAAAAAGAAACUCCUCUAAGCAGAUCAGCUGGACUUAAUGCAUUAAUAACCCAGUAUUUAAUUUUGUGAAUUUCUUGGAAUGGAAAGACCUCAAAACAUACAAACUUCUCUGGACAUAAAUUAUUCCCUCUGCUUUUUCAGCUACAGGAGAUAACUGGAAAUGGAAUACUUACUGAAAAUGAGUCACAUGGGAUGAAUCAUUCUAUCAGGAACAGUUGCUAGCAAAUUCUGCAGAAAGCCAAAGUAUAAAGACAUGUAGUAAGACUGACUUGUGAAAAGUGUAAAUUCUAGUGCUUCUGUCAUUAUUAGGAUGUGUGAAAUUACUGUAAGGAAUUUAGCUUUAUUUCCUUAGCAUGUUUGGUUGUAUCAUUAGAAGAAAAAUAGUCACUAAAAUCACCAUAAAAGAGAUGAAAACUUUUCAACUUACUCAAAGCUUCACUGAAUUUCCUGGAAACUGAUUUAUUUCUGAGAAUACACCCAUCAAUUAACCUAGUCACGUAAGCAGAGCAAAUGCAGUCUUUCAGUUUCAAGUUAUUCCUAGAGGGAAUUCUCUCUGAAUCGAUAAUGGUUUUUGUAUGCAGACUCUUAUAUCUGCAUGAAAAAAAAGUUGCAUGACCAUUUUCUGAGAAUGAAAAGGACCAUUUUGGUUAAAAUCCCAAUAUUAUUUUUCCUCUCAGUCUCUACUAGGCCAUAAUGACAAAGUAGAACAGAUUACUAAACAGAAGAUCUGUUUCAUCUUAUUGGGGAGGAGUGGGGGGAACCCUGGUGAACAUCAAUUUAUUUCUAAGUGCCAUUGAAGUAACCCUAAAGAUUAGAUAACUAAAAAAAGA